GAGGGUAUAGCUCAGUGGUAGAUAGAGCACAUGCUUAGAGUGCACGAGGUCCUGGGUUCAAUCCCCAGUACCUCCA
rnacentral:tRNA from 1 species